AAUAACGAAUAACUUCCAACGGCUUGAUUAAUAACAUUUUCUUAUUUUUCUUAUGAUUUUUCAUAGUUUUAUUUAUAUUUUUUUUUCUCAGAGAAAUUUGUUAUUUGCAAAUCCGAUUCCGUCGAUCUAAAGUAAGUUCUCCUCGUUGACCUCGACGCCAUUUCCACGGGAAGAUGUCUCCUUGCUUACAUGGCGAUGCUGUUG
rnacentral:lncRNA from 1 species